AACAUUUCUUGAAAGCCUCCAGGAAUGGUGACUCAGCCACCUCCCUGGGCAGCCCGUUCCAGCGUCUUACCGCUUUUUUGGAGAAAAAAAUUUUCCUAAUAUCCAACCUGAACCUCCCCUGGCAUUCUUCUUACACAGUUAAAAGUUAUCCAAUACUUUACGAGAAAUUAGAAAACCCAAGGGCCAGACCAGCCUAUCCUCAGUGACUCACCACUUACACAGACAGCAGAAAAGACAAGUGCAUCAGCUUAAUGCCAGCUACUCUAACACCUUUCACAGGACUGCAUCUAUUGGAGCUGGGCCUAAGAAUUAGGACCAGUAAUUAAGAGGUGCAAUCCAUAUUUGAACACAUAGAUGACUAAACCUGAUGAUUGCUAAGAGUGAGAGAGCUGUUCUUUUUCCUAGGACUUUGAAAAUGUGUAACAAGGUAAUUCUCACUGUAAAGUUGUAGGCAUUGUUAGAAAGAGAAGGGAAUUUGCUGUCGGUUAUUCUAAACAGCUAAAGUUAUUUACACUCAUACUAUAUCACAGGGGCGAAAGGCCUACAGGAUAUGACAGAUGACUUUUCUUAACCUCUAAGUCUAAGUAAAUAUAUAAGUAAAUCUAAAUAAACACGAGCAAAUCAUAAUCAAGCAUUUUUAAAAAAGUUUAAAAUAACGUUUAGUUGCUUAACUAAAGAUUUAGAGAGCCUCCAUGUUUAGCCUGCAUGUUUUACGUAUUUCUUAACACUGUGUAUACUUGGCAGCACUCCAUAAUUUUAUAAAACUAUAGGUAAUAAUUUGCAGUGAUCAAGUUGUAGUCAUUCCCCAUGAGCAAGUGUUAUUUUCUUUCCCCUGGCUAAAAUGAACGCAGAGCUCUGAGACUUCUAAAAGGCGCUAACAACUUUCACCUGGAAAAGAGGCCUCUUUCAGGGAGAGUAACAAGUUUAGUGAUUAGCAGACAAACAUAAAGUUGUUAAUGUGAAUAUCUCAGGGCUAACUGAAUCUACGUCCUAAGUAAUGCCUAGGUUCUCAAAGAAAGUUAAGCAGAGCAGGAAGAGGCCAAUUGCUUUUUCAGAACUGGAUGUGUCAUCCCAAGUUAUUUUCUGUGCACGUGCCAAGGUCCUCCCACCCUCCCCUGUCGACCCUUCCCAUUGUGGGAAGGAGUGCAGAGAGCACUCUGCAGAAACACUGCACAGGCUGUGACUUCCAGCUGCUGCCUGGCUACAGGAUGGAUUGCCCUUGGUCAGUUCCAAAACCCCUACAUAGAACCACACCAUAUAUAUGCUGCAAAGUGAAGAUUAGGCCUAUGAAUAGCAAGCUGUAGCUCGCAGGCUUUCCACAAUGCUGGCUGAAGCUCAGAGUGCACAAACCAUCUCACUGAUCUUACGUAUUUCCAUCUGUUUUUAAAUUUCAGUUUUAAAUCACUUAGCUUUCUUAUAGGCUGUACCUCUCUCUAUAGUGUCUGUAAAGUCUUUAGGGUGAAUGGAAAUAAAUCAGAAUGUAACAGGUGUGAUUCAGCCAAGUUAUUAUAAAAGUCUGUGUUAAGGUGAGAUGAAUUAUGCCUUAAAAACACUUCCUUCCCUUUUCCUGAUUUUAGGGGGGAGUCCAUGUAAGACGUCAGCUCAGAACAUUCGCUGACAUGGUGCCCUGGUCCAGAUCCUGUGUGUCCCCACUGCAUAAAGAUGGGUAGACUUGGACUAGAAUGAUGAGCAGACUGGGACUUUUCCUCUCAAGAGAACACUGGAGGUCUGCUCAAGUCCAUGCCUCACAGUAUGACUCUGGGUAAACAACAUGGACAGCAAGUAACUAGAAAACUGCAUCAGACUCACAGUUAAUUGACUGUCUGAAUUUAUCUGCAGGUCUGUGAGAACAAAUUUUUGUAGUGUGCCAUGAAAGAGGUUAGCCUCCUUUGGACUGCAGCUGUAAGCCCAAGGGACUCUCUGAAAAUGCCUCCCUAACUGGGUGGUCUGGAACCUUUCUACAGAAGACUUGCUCUGAUUCUACCCAACUUUGGCCUGAUGAGAGCCAUCAGAAGAAACUCUGAAUGCAGGCAGGUAAACUGCAAAACAUGUUUGGGUGCUUCAGGGUUUGCUUUGUCUUCCAGUUCAUUUCCAGGAGAAAAAUUUAUAUAUGAAUAAACAAUGAGGAUCUUGGAAUGCAGGAAGAAAGCAUCCUUAGGAGGGCAAACGUUCGUAAAAAACUCACUUAGCAAAUUCAUCUCAGAGGUGCUGAGAUACGGACCCAUUAGAAAUACUCUGUAAUCACACUGGGUACAGCCUCAGGCAACUGUAAGGACAUUCAAGAAAAAGUGACUCAUUUCAGGGGUAAGGAUGAUUGCUGGUUACGGGGAAGAACAGAACUCAAAGCUCAGUGUUAUUGCUGGCUGUGCCACAGCUCUCUUGGGUAGCCCUAGGUAAGUCAGACCACCUAUUGGUGCCUCAAUUCCUUCAUUCUUAAAAAGGAAGAUGACCCCUCCAUAGGAAAGCACUAGGAAGUCUGUGGAUGCUGUAUGACAUCACAGUUCAUUCUAUUCUUGUUGACAGAGCUAGAUGUAACAACUUGAGAAUAAUCACCACACAGUUCGAAGUUCCUCCACUAAGCUUCUUUGUGAUGAAGAAGUGGAACCAUCAGAGCAAAUGAAGGGAUUACACUCAGGUCUCUCACCAAAACUCAGAAGUGGAUUCUAGCUUUCAUGGCUCUGUAACUUCACAAGUAUUUUUAUCAGUAUUUUGAGAGUAAAAGGAACAGAAUCAGCUGACAAGCUCCUGCUGGUCUGGACCUGAUACAGAAUCAAAAUAAGGUCUGCUGAUGUUUUGAUCUGCAAACGACAAUACAUAUGAUUUGACCUGAAUGAAGCAAUGUUUUGCAUAGCUGUGCUCACCUGUCCAAACACCUCCUCAUUCACUGUGAAGGUGAGAUCCAGGAUAUCUGUGAUGUUGUUAUCUUUCAUCCACUGCAAGCUUUGAUGGAACUCUUCAUCCAGCAGAUAUUUAACAUUACCUCUCACAUCUCUGACUGAUCAAUAAUGGACCUCUCCUUGAUCCAUCUCCUGCAGAACCUAUACAUGCACCUGGCAUGAUGUGAGCUUGCCUGUGUCAAACCAAUAAAUGUUUUGAACAUUCAGAUUCCGUGAUCCUUAGUUGAAUGUUCUGAAGCAAAUGUACUCCAUCAAACACAAUGUUUAGACAGUGAAAAACUGUAAUACUCUGUCUGGCCUUAGCAGAAAAACAUAUAAUAUCACCUAUUCAAAACUUAUUUGUGAAAAAGGAAAAGAAAAAAUGACACAUCCUGAGUGUAAGCACUUUUAAGCUGACUGAUAUCAUAGUAGAGUUUUACUGCACAAAAGAUGAGAAAGAGUUCAAAAAGCUGAGAAAUCAUUCCUUCUACUACAGGAGCCAAAGCAAAGACUCUUCCUGCAUAAAAAUUAAAUGUGAAUCUCAUGAAAAAAGUAGUGCAAAAUGCAGUCAACUUUAUGCUCAUGGGACAGUACAACAAGUGCUUAGUUUGUCAAAUGGGUCACAAAAUAGCAUGCUGUAGGCCCAGUUAGCAUUUACAUCACCACAGGAGCUGCCUUGGGGUCCCCAGCAUCCAAGAAAGGUGCUUAUGGUAUGCAGCUGACUGGUAACAGAAGAGUGGUUAUAUUACUCCCUUACAGCUGUUUCCACAGCAGCAACAAAAGGCAGCUGUUGGAUCUAGUUAGGACCUGCUUUACUUCACUUGAGCUGCAGUGCAGUGCUUCCAGCAAAAAAGCAAUGAAAAGUGGGGGAGCUGACACAAUGAAAGCACAGUGGAAGCCAGACAGCUCAAAUCCCAGAGAUGCUGAGCCUGUAAUCCAUCAGUUUUAUAGCACCUUCAGGAUCUAUAAUCAAGUCUGUUUGUCCCAAAUAAUGCAUGUUGGCUUUUUUAGGUUUGUUCUUCAUAGCUCUGUCCUCCCAUCCCUAUACAUUUUGAAAAUGAAUGUUGAAUGAAAAUACUAUCAGCAGCAGGCAUUCCUCACCACAGCGCUCAUCCCAUGGCUACUCAGCGGUGCAGGAGACAAAUUGAAUAAAUUAAAGCUGAAAGUAGAUUGCCAAGAAAAGCCUCCCUGGCCUGGAACUCUCUGCUAAGAAACUGGUAGAAAGCAUGAACAGCAUUGGUUUUCUCUUUGCUGCUUGUAUCGCCUCUUCACAUGUAUGUGGUUUUGCUGGUAUUGCAAAGCUGACAUGAAAGGCUAGUGCAUCUAGAUCAAGGUGUUUACAAUCACGAGCAUAUGUUAUGCUAGCUGUUCAUGGCGAUUUAAUUGGAACCAGUAUUUUAUGGCAGAACUUUUUCAAACAAUCCAGACCACAGGCAAAGUUUCUAUGUGAAAAGACCAAGUCUGGUGGGUCAGUGUAAGCAAACACAUGCAGAGCAACCCUAGGCUGUGUAGUCCACACUGUGGGGGCCUGACUGUGGUUCCACAAUCCCAGCCCUUGUGAUGGUACAGUGCUAACUGGUCUGGAUAAAGGAUGUGAAAUAAUUAACAAGACAUUGCCACUCUUGUUGCUUUGCAAUACAAUAGAUUAAAAAAAAAAAAAAAGCUACAGUGAAAAUUAUAGCUCUUGGCAGCUCUGUAUCUCCUCAGGAGACAGACUGCUGCUCUUCCAUCCUGAGGGGGCUAAACCAGAGCCUACAAAUCCUUCAUACCUUGCGGCCAGCUUUGAUAUCUCUGUAGAGACUUACUAUACUCAACUUUUUGAGCUGAAAAGUGGUCUAAGAGAAGAUCCUCUGGUCCCUUGUCCAUCCUGGACACUGCCUGGGACCAUAGUCUUACACCCAGCAGUGCACUGAGAAACAUGGGCUGAAGUAAGUCAACAGGGACCUGUCAGAAAGGAGGUCUUUGCUAAAGUGCUCACAGGACAACUGUACAGUCUGUUGACGUGUAUCUGUACAGUCCUUCAAGCUAAGACCACUAGCAGCCAAGCGUAACAGUAGCACCAAAUAUAUGUCAAAACUUGGAAAAAUCAACAAGAAGCUUUCAGUCCAAAAAACUUCAGGACAGCCACAAGAAAUAGCCCCUUUUACAAAAGACUGUUAAAAUGAAAAUAGAUCCUUGUGUUUAUUUCUUCCUGAAGAAUUUAGUGCACAGGUGAAAGUCAGAGAUAGGUGAGACAAUCCCUUCAGAAAAACAAGUUUUCUUGAUGGAAUAAGCAGCAUAGAGGUAAAUCCUGGCUGGAGAGCACAUACCUUCCUUAAACCUGACUUGCAUAUAUCUUUCUGAGGAAGUAUAAAAUGCUUACUCCAUUACUUUGUAGCAGGAAAAAUAUCUUGUGAGAGGUGAGGAAUACAAAUUCUCAUUCUGUCUUUUUCUUUCAACACCUCCCCCUUUCUGAGACAAUCAUUGAGUCUGAGUAAUGCACUAGCAGAGAGAGGAAACACAGGAGGGAGUUAAUGAACAGGAAACGGUGGAAGGAGAGACAGAAUUAAUGAGCAGUAGGGCUGCUCUGGGUUGCCUGCCUAUUGAAACCAUUGCUACACUCAAAAAGGACAUUGUGUGCACCUGCUUUCUGGCUUUUAAAAACACUACUCUUUGACCCAUUUGCGGGAGUUUCCACACUGCCCAGCUAACUUUCUUUCCUUCUGGAAGCUGCAGGUGCCCUUGAAAGAGUCUGUUUUCACAAUAGCUUGUUGCAAAAUAACAGGCUCGUUCUCCUCAGUGGGACUCUGCAUACUUCUCACGUCUGUGCACACACAGACAAACCCACAUGUAGCAGGGACUAAGCAAUAUUUUUUCUUCCAACUGCAGGUGAUUCACAGGAAAUUUAAUUUACUCUGCUCCUUAUCAUAUAGCAGCAGAAUAAGGGAAGACCAAUAAUGACUCUUUGUUACAGGACUCUCUCUUAACUGGUUGAACUAACACAGCUGUACCUGAUGUGACAGUCCUUCCUUAGAUUCAGAUGGAAAAUGAUUUACAAAGUUGUUAUCUAUGCAUACAGACAAAUAAUAGUUUUUGUUUAUCAUUCUACAGAGGAUGCUUUGUGGGAUAAAUUAGCUAUGGUAUGACAAACUUUAAAUCCUAAUAGAGAAAGUAUUUUAUGGGAUUAAAAAAACUGAAAAUCUCACAAAUCUUAACUCCCUGAAAUACAUCAGCUGGAUGUAAGUGUGCCCUUCCUGAUGCAGAAGUUUGUGCAAAGAAUAUUCAAAGAAGGCCACAAAAAUCAUAGAAUAUCCUGAUCUGGAAGGGAACCAUAAAGAAUCAUCGAGUCCAACUCCCAGUUCCACAUAAGAACACCCAAAUUCAAACCCUGUAUCUGAGAGAGUUGUCCAAAUGCUCCUUGAUCUCCAGCAGCUUGUGGCUAUGCCCACUGCCCUGGGAGCCUGUUAUGGGGCCUAGUCACCCUCUGGUGAAAAACAUUUUCCUAACAUGCAGCCUGUGUCACUCCUGAUGCAGCUCCAGGCCAUUCCCUUGUUCUUGUCAUUAAGAGAGCAAAGAUCAGCACUGUCCCUCCGCUCCUCUCAUGAGGAGCUGUUGGCUGUAAUGAGGCCUCACAUUAGUUUCCUCUUCUCUGGGCUGAAAAAACCAAGGGACCUCAGCUACUCCUCAUCCAUCUUGUCCUUCAGAUCCUUCCCCAUCUUCAUAGCCCUUUGGAUGCCCUCUAAUAGCUUUAUGUCCUUUUUAUAUUGUGGCAUCCAAAACUGCAGGCAGUGCUCGAGGUGAGGCUGUACAGUGCAGUGCAGAGUGGGACAACAUCUUCUCUCAUCUGACUGGAAGUGUGGGCUUGAUGCAUGCCAGAGAAUGGUUGGCCCUUUUGGAUACCAGGGAAUGCUGCUGACUCAAAUUCAACUUGACAUCAAACAGAACCCUCAGAUUCCUUUCCAUGGGGAUAUAUUUAGAAUGGAAAUAAUAGGGAAAAUAUUUAGAAUGGCCCAGUCAUAGUUAAAGCUUUAAUCUGAAAAUGCAUCCUAUUAAGUGACAGAGAAUUCAGUCAUGAAACCCAGAUUAGUAGGAACCUGGGCAUCAUCGGCUCAGAAACCGUGGCACAGCUUGCUUUAAAAGAGUUAAAGCCUUAAUCAUUAUGAAAAGCCUUGUGAGUAUUCAUGAAUUUUAAGCAAAACUAGCAGUGUGUCAGGCAUAUGCACUAGAGGUAUGUGUCUAUAUGCUAGUAGCACACAUCCUUGUGUUGUUUCACUGCAGGACAUAAUCAGCAAGUCCUGUAAUGAGCUACAUCUACAGAGCAAUAACCUAGCAUGAAAUCAGA